UGAACUGAAAAAGAGAGGGGUCCGCGCGUACGCAGUCCCUCGCUACCACAAAUUACGACGUAGGUGCCACCAACAAAGGGCAGACCUUAGACCAAUUCCCUUCCUUGUGUGCAAUGGAAGUCAUCAGUCUAAGCCAUGGGCCUACUUGAUCACCCAUUGACUCCGUCCAGGGAAUUGCAGCAAUGACAAUAAUAUUCAAGUGCCAACUCUACCUACUCAUAGCAUAGUAGCAGAAAGGAAACCAUAUUCGACAUAGGCAUGCAUUUAUUCCCCAAAGUUCAAAUCAGACUGUGCUUCUCACAAUUUAGUUAACAAGCAAGAAUGACUGACAUGGAAAACUGCAAGAAGUAGGACUGGUCUCACAUGGCCUUGUCUGGCUUAAUUUGGUCAUUCUAUAGUAUAUUUUGAUCUCACAAUUAACUAAGUAUCACUGUAAUUCUAAACAAAAUCCAUUUGUUUGAAACAAUAUUCUUUAAAAGAUUGAAAAGGUUUAUUUAAUAAAAA